AGAGUUUGAUCCUGGCUCAGAUUGAACGCUGGCGGCAUGCUUUACACAUGCAAGUCGAACGGUAACGCGGGGGCAACCCUGGCGACGAGUGGCGAACGGGUGAGUAAUACAUCGGAACAUGUCCUGGAGUGGGGGAUAGCUCGGCGAAAGCCGGAUUAAUACCGCAUAAGCUCUGAGGAGGAAAGCGGGGGACCUUCGGGCCUCGCGCUGCAGGAGUGGCCGAUGUCGGAUUAGCUAGUUGGUGAGGUAAAGGCUCACCAAGGCGACGAUCCGUAGCUGGUCUGAGAGGAUGAUCAGCCACACUGGGACUGAGACACGGCCCAGACUCCUACGGGAGGCAGCAGUGGGGAAUUUUGGACAAUGGGGGCAACCCUGAUCCAGCCAUGCCGCGUGAGUGAAGAAGGCCUUCGGGUUGUAAAGCUCUUUCGGACGGGACGAAAAGGUUAUGGUGAAUAGCCAUGACUAAUGACGGUACCGUAAUAAGAAGCACCGGCUAACUACGUGCCAGCAGCCGCGGUAAU
rnacentral:rRNA from 1 species